rnacentral:lncRNA from 1 species
AGAUGGAGGGAUGCAUCAUAAAGGGAUGCAUCCCAUCCACACACCUUAUCAUGAUGAGGCAUGUGCCAAGAGAGGCAUCCCAUCAUGAUGAGGUGUUAAGGAGAAGGGUGUAUCAACUUCUUUCUCACAUCUCUCUCUUAAAUCCUGAUAAUCUAAGGGCCCAAAUGCAGUGAACCAAAGCCAAUGGUCCAGAUCUAGGUGCCAUCUAAUGGUCCAGAUCAAGGCAUCAUCAUCCAGGGUGCCAUCCAAUGGUCCAGAAGCAAGAUGCCAUCACCGAUGGUCCAGAUUAUGGCGCUGAGCAACGGUCUAGAUCUUUCAUCCAGAGAGCCAUCCAGUGGUCCAGAUUCAGGCGCUGACCAAUGGUCCAGAUCCUUCAUCCAGGAAUCCAUCCAAUGGUCCAGAUGAAGGCGCCAACCAGUAGACCAGAUCCUUCAUCCAGGAAGCCAUUCAAUGGUCCAGAUGAAGGCACCAACCAGUGGACCAGAUCCUUCAUCCAGGAAGCGAUCCAAUGGUCUAGAAGUGAAGGCCCUAUCAAACCCAAUCCAAUUGGGUUUAACCAACUUAAAGAAAACAUUAAACCUAAUCAAAUCAGGUCUAAUUAAAGCCAAAUGGGUUCCAACUCUUGGCUAACCCAUAUUAGGUCAUGAUCUAAUCAUAUUAGAUCAACCUAAUCUAAGAAUCAGAUUCGAAUUUAAUUUGAAUCAGGAGCUAGGGUUUGCAACACGUGCUAGCAUGUUCAUCUUGCAAACAUGAUCUAAUCCAAUUAGACCCUUGAUCAAUAUCCUUGUGUGUGACCCAUUGAGUUCCUUAUCUUAGCCAGCAGUAGGUGCAGGUGCAAGUUGACCUAACCUGAUUAGAAUACCUCUAAUCCAAUUUAGGUUCAAUUUAGUGCUAAACCUGACUUAGCAAUCAGAACCUUUCUGAUGCUUUGAUCUAAUCGAACUCUUUGAUCCGAUCAACCCACAAGACAUGAUUGACGUCUAGCAACGUAUCAUGUCUACCCGGAAGAUGAGGAACGUAUUGGACAAAUCCAAACAUACCCUUCAGUGGCAAGUUACCGUGCAAUUCAAUUCCUCAGUCAUACUACAUCCUGAAUAAGUGCAUGAGUAUGGAUCAAUAUC